GACGAACGCUGGCGGCGUGCUUAACACAUGCAAGUCGAACGGAAAGGCCCUGCUUUUGUGGGGUGCUCGAGUGACGAACGGGUGAGUAACACGUGAGUAACCUGCCCUUGACUUUGGGAUAACUUCAGGAAACUGGGGCUAAUACCGGAUAGGAGCUCCUGCUGCAUGGUGGGGGUUGGAAAGUUUCGGCGGUUGGGGAUGGACUCGCGGCUUAUCAGCUUGUUGGUGGGGUAGUGGCUUACCAAGGCUUUGACGGGUAGCCGGCCUGAGAGGGUGACCGGCCACAUUGGGACUGAGAUACGGCCCAGACUCCUACGGGAGGCAGCAGUGGGGAAUAUUGCACAAUGGGCGGAAGCCUGAUGCAGCAACGCCGCGUGCGGGAUGACGGCCUUCGGGUUGUAAACCGCUUUCGCCUGUGACGAAGCGUGAGUGACGGUAAUGGGUAAAGAAGCACCGGCUAACUACGUGCCAGCAGCCGCGGUGAUACGUAGGGUGCGAGCGUUGUCCGAAUUUAUUGGGCGUAAAGGGCUCGUAGGUGGUUGAUCGCGUCGGAAGUGUAAUCUUGGGGCUUAACCCUGAGCGUGCUUUCGAUACGGGUUGACUUGAGGAAGGUAGGGGAGAAUGGAAUUCCUGGUGGAGCGGUGGAAUGCGCAGAUAUCAGGAGGAACACCAGUGGCGAAGGCGGUUCUCUGGGCCUUUCCUGACGCUGAGGAGCGAAAGCGUGGGGAGCGAACAGGCUUAGAUACCCUGGUUGUCCACGCUGUAAACGGUGGGUACUAGGUGUGGGGUCCAUUCCACGGGUUCCGUGCCGUAGCUAACGCUUUAAGUACCCCGCCUGGGGAGUACGGCCGCAAGGCUAAAACUCAAAGGAAUUGACGGGGCCCCGCACAAGCGGCGGAGCAUGCGGAUUAAUUCGAUGCAACGCGUAGAACCUUACCUGGGUUUGACAUGGAUCGGGAGUGCUCAGAGAUGGGUGUGCCUCUUUUGGGGUCGGUUCACAGGUGGUGCAUGGCUGUCGUCAGCUCGUGUCGUGAGAUGUUGGGUUAAGUCCCGCAACGAGCGCAACCCUUGUUCACUGUUGCCAGCACGUUAUGGUGGGGACUCAGUGGAGACCGCCGGGGUCAACUCGGAGGAAGGUGGGGAUGACGUCAAGUCAUCAUGCCCCUUAUGUCCAGGGCUUCACGCAUGCUACAAUGGCUGGUACAGAGAGUGGCGAGCCUGUGAGGGUGAGCGAAUCUCGGAAAGCCGGUCUCAGUUCGGAUUGGGGUCUGCAACUCGACCUCAUGAAGUCGGAGUCGCUAGUAAUCGCAGAUCAGCAACGCUGCGGUGAAUACGUUCCCGGG
rnacentral:rRNA from 1 species